rnacentral:rRNA from 1 species
GUAUAUUGCACAAUGGGCGCAAGCCUGAUCCAGCCAUACGGCGUGGGCGAAGAAGGCCUUCGGGUUGUAAAGCCCCUUUGUUGGGUAGGAAAAGCAGUCGGCUACUACCCGGUUGGUCUGGCAGUCCCCAAAGCAUAAGACCCGGCUCACUUCGUGCCAGCAGCCGCGGGAAUACGAAGGGUGCAAGCGUUACUCGGAAUUACUGGGCGUAAGGCGUGCGUAGGUGGUUGUUUCAGUCUGUUGUGAAAGCCCUGGGCUCAACCUGGGAAUUGCAGUGGAUACUGGGCGACUAGAGUGUGGUAGAGGGUAGUGGAAUUCCCGGUGUAGCAGUGAAAUGCGUAGAGAUCGGGAGGAACAUCCAUGGCGAAGGCAGCUACCUGGACCAACACUGACACUGAGGCACGAAAGCGUGGGGAGCAAACA